rnacentral:rRNA from 1 species
GACGAACGCUGGCGGCGUGCCUAAUACAUGCAAGUAGAACGCUGAAGGAGGAGCUUGCUUCUCUGGAUGAGUUGCGAACGGGUGAGUAACGCGUAGGUAACCUGCCUGGUAGCGGGGGAUAACUAUUGGAAACGAUAGCUAAUACCGCAUAAGAGUAGAUGUUGCAUGACAUUUGCUUAAAAGGUGCAAAUGCAUCACUACCAGAUGGACCUGCGUUGUAUUAGCUAGUUGGUGGGGUAACGGCUCACCAAGGCGACGAUACAUAGCCGACCUGAGAGGGUGAUCGGCCACACUGGGACUGAGACACGGCCCAGACUCCUACGGGAGGCAGCAGUAGGGAAUCUUCGGCAAUGGACGGAAGUCUGACCGAGCAACGCCGCGUGAGUGAAGAAGGUUUUCGGAUCGUAAAGCUCUGUUGUAAGAGAAGAACGAGUGUGAGAGUGGAAAGUUCACACUGUGACGGUAUCUUACCAGAGAGGGACGGCUAACUACGUGCCAGCAGCCGCGGUAAUACGUAGGUCCCGAGCGUUGUCCGGAUUUAUUGGGCGUAAAGCGAGCGCAGGCGGUUAGAUAAGUCUGAAGUUUAAGGCUGUGGCUUAACCAUAGUACGCUUUUGGAAACUGUUUAACUUGAGUGCAAGAGGGGAGAGUGGAAUCCCUGUGUAGCGGUGAAAUGCGUAUACUAUGGAGGAACACCGGCGGCAAAAGCGGCUCUCUCCCUUGUAACUGACUUUGAGGUUAAAAAGCACGCCGCGCGAAUUGUCUAGAUCCCCUUGUAAUCUAGGGGGGAAAUCUCCCUUUGUGUUUUGCUCUGCGGGGACCCCCAGUUCUAGGGGGGGCCCCCCAGCGAAACUCCCAUUUUCUCCUUUAGGAGCAGUAAAAAAAAAA